GCCCGCCCCACGGACUCGUCUACCAUCCCAGGGGAGACGCUGGCAAGGAGGAUGUCGUCGACGCCGUCGUGCCCCGGGCGGGGCCGCCCAGGCCGCAGACCGGGAUCGCCUUCUUCCUGCCGCUGUAGAGCAUAGGGACGACCUGGCCAGGGAUCAGCCAGUGUGAUACAUCACACAAUGGUGCUCAUUAUAACAGGACGGGAUGGCGUCAGCACACGGCAUUAUAUUGUCCAAUAAAGUUUGCCCGGCGUGGCCUCGCGCACGCCCCAGUGCGAUGUACAUGUGCGCUCAGUGAGUCCGCACGCUGGUGCCGCCCAUAGUGCUCGCCGCAGUCCAAUGGCAACAAGCCUGGUAGAACUGCUUGCAGUCUUUAGCUUGCUCGGCGGAGCUGCAGCCAACCCUUUGAACCUUUUUGGCCCGUACUCGGUUUACGCCGAGAAAGGGUACCCAUGUGGUCCGAAAGAGAGCAGCGGGAAGAUGAAGCUAGAUCUGAAAGCAACCAGAGUCGACAUGAGAAAGCAGAACGCGUUGCAGUUGAUCACAGUCAGCUUCAACACGACAACGCCGCUUGUCGACGAAAUGUGGGGUAGGGCCCGCAUUGACGGUUACUCAAACGGCGAGUGGAAGCCGAACGCGCUCUUGUUCGCCUUCCAGGACCAUGGCUGCUCCAACCUGCGCACCCACAUCCCGCAACUCUUCAACGCCCUGUUCAAGAAAGAGGGCGAGGGGAAAGAGUGCUCCGUCCGACCAGGCGUGUACACCGUGGUUGACGAGCCAAUGAACUGGACCUUCCCCAAGUUCCCCGUGCUGCCGUACGGGUUCUUCAGGUUCCACGUGACCGGGGGUGUCGGCGAGGACGUGUACGGCUGCCACAACGUCGAGGGCCGGGUCGUCCCCAGAAAGCACGGAUGAUUGUUUUAUCUCUUUAAUGAAUAUUCCAAUUUUCCUAUACGGCAUAAAUAAUAUAGAAGCUCUUAAAUUGUUAAAUAAACUAACAUGCAGCACUUUCUAUCCCAUGGGCGUGUAAAGUUAAGUACGCUCACACGAGCAAUGUGCGGUGCCAUAUACUAAACGAAACGACUUCGAAUUGAAAAUAAUUUUGCAGGAUUGCACUCUUCUUAGUCCCUCCUCUCUGAAAAUCUAUGGGUUUGUCAAUUUUCGCGUCAUUUUGCCUCUCACCAGGACGCUCAUCUCACGUGAAACGCUCACGCGUGCUUAACUUUACACGCCCCUUGUGAACAUAAGUGUAAGCUUAAAUGAAGUGUGACUAGGCUUGUUAUUGUGGGCUCACCUUCCUGGACUAACCAAACGUGCGAGCCGGUUGCCCACCUGCAAGAAUAACUCUCAAACAAUUGUUUUUUAAUCGCGAUAAAAUACCUUCUGUUUCCGUGAAAGAGUUACCGGAAACUGCUCCUGAUGACAAAGCCAAACAUCGUGGUUAGAUGAGGGUCAUGCCAUUUUUUUUUGUGACGCUCGCUGAUGUGUGCCGUUGAUCAGCCCAUGAGUCCAGUGUGUCCGCACACGCCGUCUGCGUCCUCUGCGCGACCCGCCCACCAUGGCUGCAUGCGGGAGGCUCAGGCCAGAGGUGGUUCAGGUUAGGUUGGCAACGAGCCUGUUGCAGCUGUCCGCCGCCUUGAGCCUUCUCGGGCCAGGAGUCUCUUCCAGCUCGACGGGGUUUGGAACAUAUUACGCAUACGCUGAGAAAUUUUACAAUUGUGAACCCAAAGAGGCAAACGACGCGACGGUAAUACAAAUGGCUGUAACAAAGUAUAAUGUGAAUAAGGCGCAUGUACCGCAAACACUAACGGGCAACGUCACCUUGUUGAAGCCAUUCACUGACAAACAAUGGGGAAGGGUCCGCAACGACGCGUCCUCCAACGGUGGGUGGAAGCCAAACGCCCUCGUCUUCCCGUUCAAGGACAAGGCUUGCUCCAACUUCCGGAUGCACAUACCAGGCCUUUUCCGGGCCUUGUUCAAGACGGAGGCCGAGGACCAAAAGGAGUGCUUCGUCCGGCCCGGCGUGUACAGCGUCAACGAACCGGUAAACUUUACCUUCCCUAAGUUCCCUGUGUUACCUUAUGGGUUGUACCGGUUCCACUUGACCAUCGGCGAGGGCGAGGAGACAGACGCCUGCAUAAACGUAGAUGGACGACUUGCCCCUAGGAAGCACAAGUACUCAUGACUACACAGCCAUGGAUAUAAUCAACUCUCAGGUGACCGCAUUGCAUGGCGAUUCCCACUCCGGUAGGGUACAGUUGUGGUGUCGAUACUGUGACCUCAUCCUGACUCUGACUGCGGUGGUGUCGCGGGCCGCGUCGUGAGCCGACUGCCGCUCAUUAGAAGCGCCUGCGCAAUGAGCGCGCACCCUCACCCCCUCAGCCCCAUACUAGCACUUUACUGGGUACCUAUUUAUACAUAGGACGAGUAACACUCACGAACAGUAACACGGCGAGUUUGUUAAGUUGCUAGGAAGAUCGGGGCAAUUCCAGGAGAAAUGGCCAAUCAUGUCCGUCCGUCACGCGAUUUGUGAGCGACUGGGAGGCGCAACAUUGUUUUACAAAACAUGUCCUGACUCCCCAUCUCAAGACGCGUCCAGUGAUGUUUUGUACGAAGCCGUGGCACCACUCUCAGUCACUCACAAAUCACGUGCCGUGCGGACAUUGGCCAUCGACAGUUAGUCAUUUUAUUUUGCUAAGAAAACGAAAGUUCCCAAUUACUUCCAGAGAAUUAUCUUUAUUACUGUUCUCACAAAAUUUGCGAGUAACUACUGCUCUACAAAGUAGUUCGUAUCUUCUUAGAAAAAUGUUAGUACAGGGCUGAGAGUGAGCAAACAUCAACAAAAUAAAUUUUAAAAAAAUGUGGUGAUA